AAAAUUUUUUUAUUAUGAUAUAAAUUUCUUAGGCACAAGGGAAGUCCGGUGAAAAUCCGGUGCUGUACCCGCAGCUGUAAGCUGGACGAAAGCCCAUUAUGCCACUGCCAGGCAUCUAUUCAAUAUUUGGAUGCUGGGUGGGAAGGCGGGCAAGUAGGAUGAAGGCAAGCCAGAAGACCUGUGUCUCAUCCAUAUUAUGG
rfam:Calditerrivibrio nitroreducens DSM 19672 plasmid pCALNI01, complete sequence.